AGACCCGAAACCCGGUGAUCUAGCCAUGGGCAGGUUGAAGGUUGGGUAACACUAACUGGAGGACCGAACCGACUAAUGUUGAAAAAUUAGCGGAUGACCUGUGGCUGGGGGUGAAAGGCCAAUCAAACCGGGAGAUAGCUGGUUCUCCCCGAAAGCUAUUUAGGUAGCGCCUCGUGAAUUCAUCUCCGGGGGUAGAGCACUGUUUCGGCUAGGGGGCCAUCCCGGCUUACCAACCCGAUGCAAACUGCGAAUACCGGAGAAUGUUAUCACGGGAGACACACGGCGGGUGCUAACGUCCGUCGUGAAGAGGGAAACAACCCAGACCGCCAGCUAAGGUCCCAAAGUCAUGGUUAAGUGGGAAACGAUGUGGGAAGGCCCAGACAGCCAGGAUGUUGGCUUAGAAGCAGCCAUCAUUUAAAGAAAGCGUAAUAGCUCACUGGUCGAGUCGGCCUGCGCGGAAGAUGUAACGGGGCUAAACCAUGCACCGAAGCUGCGGCAGCGACGCUGAUGCGUUGUUGGGUAGGGGAGCGUUCUGUAAGCCUGCGAAGGUGUGUCGUGAGGC
rnacentral:rRNA from 3 species